rnacentral:sRNA from 1 species
AUGUACCCCCCUACACUCCGGUUCCUCCGCACCCACCUGACAGCUGCUCGCGACGUUUUGUUAGCC